UGGUUCUAUUAUCGUGUGGUGCUGUGAGUCACUGUCUAUUCAUAUAACUUACCCAGGGCUUGUAACAGGACAACUGGCAAAUAAGGAUUCAGAGAUGGAAGGAACCUGGAUCAUCCUUAAAUAAGAUGAGCCACUCCAUAAAUAAAUAACAGGGCACUGACUGGGUUGGUUGGGGACUAGGGGAGAUGAGGGGAUAGUAUGGACUCAGGAAGCUGGGAAAGCGCAAAGUCUGAGAAGAGGGAAUGGGAAGAGUGGGGCGAGCUGAAGACCAGCACUGUCUGAGAAUGCGUGAGAAAUAACUGAAUCAUAGUGCAUCACCCAAUUUAGUGGUUCUCUCCCAGGGUUGCCCACCCAGACUGAAUUAUGGAAGGCCAAGCCAUGGCAGAGGCAGCAGCCAAUGGGAGCACAAUUAUUCAAUUCUUGGUCAAGCUUGAAAUAAGCACAUACAGAUUUUAUUUCCAUCUUAAGUGAGAGAAGUUCUGUCCUUGUUCCUGGUGCAUGUUAAACAAGGAAAAGCUUAGUCACGCAUGUAGGAAGCUGAAAACUGCGGCAAAAAUGUCCUUGCUUUUCGUGCAAGAGUAUCUUUGGAAGGCAAGAUACUCUUCUUCACAGAACCCAGAACUUGAGGAGGAGCAGAUGAGUAAACCUUAUCUCCAGUGUACAAUCUGACUGUGCCUCACCAAAUUCUUCCUCUUCUCUCACAGUCGAGUUCUCAGGAAGAGCAGAAGAUGGAGAAAGGGGAUCCCUCACUCUAUCAUACAUGUGUGUCAAAAGGGAGGGAAAAUACUCUUCACUUUGGUAUUGCAGAUCUUCUAGGUGGUUUAUAAUAAAUGACUUGAGGCUUGUAGAUAUCCUUCCUCUCUCCCAAGCCCAAGCAGCAAUAAAAAUAUGUCAAGA